rnacentral:lncRNA from 1 species
UCCAUUGCAAUAUUCUGUUCUCCGGGUGCUGGUGCAAUCAUUGGUCCUUUACCAGAGCUUACAAAGGAGAAAGGUGCAAUCUAUAAAUCUGUAAGCAGGGAGGAGUAUAUAAAAUUUGUACUAAGUAGGAAACCUGUUCGCAAAAGUGCAAUAAAUCUUAUGAAGUUGGAGAACUGAAAGGAUAACCAUGUAUUGUCAAAAGAAUCGAGUUGAAUAAAUUACGUGAUCCAGGGUAAUUUAAGAAAUUUCAAUUUGCUACUAUAGUUAAUUGGGACUAAGCAAACUCAUUGCUACUAAGUGACUCUUUGGAGAGACUCCAAAGAGAAUCCAUAAAGACCAUGAAACUCGAAUGUUUUGUGGUUCUAGAAGUCCCUGACGAGUAGGUCCGGGAGGAUUGGGCAUUUUGUGCAAAAUAAAUGUCUUGUACCAUUUUUCUAUUCCUUAAUAGGAUAUUCAACUUUAUAUUGCUUACCUUUAGCUAUUGUCUCCUGUUUUCUUAGUUUCUCUUAAUUUCAUUGCUUGUAUGGAUAGGCAUGGUUUGUGAUUCAAUUAGUUCUCGUAUGAAUCUAUUUAUUCAGAUUGUUAAUUAGAUAUAUAUAUAUAUAUAUAUUAAGUGAAGUUGAAUGGCACUAAAUAGAUGAAUCGUUCUAAAAAUAUCAUUGUUAUGAUGUUAAGAGAGUGUUGUCUAUAAAUUUUGUGUCAUUCAUGAUUUGAAUCUUAAGAACAAUUAGUUGUGAAAAAAAUUGAUACAAUUUAUCAACACUAUUCGAAUUUGGCACAUUUUUUGAAGGCUUAGGUUGAAUAUAAUGAGGGCCUUAAAAAAAAUUGACACUAAGAGGAUUUGAACCCUUCAAUUACUUGAAAAAAUUGAAAACAACUCAUUCAUUACCAUUAUAUUAUUUGAUUAAAUUCCUAUUGAUCAACAUAACUCGUUUAAUAAACUUUUUUUUUUUUUUUUUUGUCAAUCUGCAUGCCAUGAAUUUGACCCAAAUUAAUAUAUCUAAUAAUUGUGUUAAUUAACCUAAUUAUAAUCAUAACUUAUUUAACUUAUAGUUGACUCAUUUAAAAUUUGAUUUCGAAUAAAUAGGUCAAUUGGUUAAUAAGCAUGUUAGGUUGAGAUGUUAAUUGUAUUAGUUGAAACAAGAUCUAACUCAACUUGAUUAUUAAAUAUUACUUAACUAUUAAAUGAGUUAUAUGACAUAUUACCUGUUCAAUAAUUAAUGUGUUUGGUUUAUAUUUUAAUCUGAUAAUUAUUUGAUUUGUGCUUAAGUUGACCUAUUUAGGCAAGUGCAUGAGUUUUGACACAGCACAAACAUGAUUCACUAACAUGAAUUGUUGUCACCCUUAAAAACAACAAGGGAUUGAUGUAAAUUGAUGCAUCUCUAGCCAAAAGUUUUAAAUUGCACAUAUUCAUCCUCUUGCUAGGUAUCCUGCUUGGUAUUGAAAAUCUCUUUUUAACAAGUAUUAGAAUAAGAAAAUUAUGAAAUUUUUGUGUCAAAAACUCUUUAUAUCAUCAAGACACAUCAAGAGGGUAUUGGAAAAAAAAAAAAUUACCUUAAUUACUACAUUAACUUUACCUUGGUAAAACCAAGUUUCUUACCAUAAGAUUCAUGAAUUCAUACAUGCAUGUUUGUGGUUUACAUUCAUGUAUUUUUAUGGCAUUACUUAGAUUCAUCCUAGAAUAAAUAACUUAAAAGGUCAAAUUCCAAAAUUUAUUACGAAGAAUAAGAUCUGAAGAACCUAAAUUUUGGUUCAUGGUGAGAAGAACCAUAAAGCACACUAUAUCGAGGCUCUUGGUGCUUUUCUUGACUCACAAUUUUUUAAAGCACUUUUCAUUCCCAUCAUUAAGGAUUGCAUAAAAAAAGAGUGAGGGAGCGAAGAUCAAGAUCAUUCAUUGUGGAAAGAACCAUAAAGCACUAUACAUCCAGGCUCUUAGUCCUUUUCUUGACUCACAAUUUUUUAAAGUACUUUCCAUCCCCAUCACUAAGAAUUGCAUACAAAAUGAACAAAUGAGUGAAGAUCAAGAGUGAAUAUCAAGAGGGUUACUUGGGGAUUUUUAAACCAUAUUAAAGUCAACAUUAUAUAUCAAGAUAUGUUUUCUUCUACAUAUGCUAAAUGUCAUUUUUAAGUCUGAUAUUAAACAUCAAAAUGAAAAUUUUUAACAUUUGGUAUCAAGAAUCAAGUUAAUCACUUGUGUUUUUAAUUAUUUAAAAUUUUGAAGUAAAUUGAUUUUUUUUUCUCAUGAUACUUGCUCAUAGUGAUCUUGAGGAACAUAAAUUCUACCUAAUCUAAUUUCUUGACAACCACAAUUGCUCUACUUCAUCAUUCAAAAGAAUCAAAUUUAUUGUUACAUAGCAAUUAAUCAACAAUAGAAAUUUAAUUUAGCAAAGUCUAACUAAUAUUUUGAAGCAAUCUAUUUUUUUUUCUUUUUUUCUUUUUUUUGCACAACAAAUCUUUAUGAUGGUUUUGAGAAAAUUUACCACUACCCAAUACAAAUUCUUUGCAAUUAGAAUUGUUCCACUUCAUCAUUCAAAAGAAUCAAAUUUAUUUUUGUAUCGAAAUUGACUACUAGUAGAAAUUUAAUGUUGCAUAGUUAGGUUAGUUUGGAAACUUACAUUUUUUGUACCAUACUUCUUUAUGAUGAUUUUGAGAAACAUAACUACUACCCAAUAAAAAAAUUUUACAAUCAAAUUUGUUCCACCAAAUGAUUCGAAAAAAAUCAAAUUUAUCGUUAUAUCAAAAUUGACCAUUGAUAGAUAUUUAAUGUUGAAACUGAUUUUGUUUUUUCACACCACACUUCUUUAUGAAGAUUUUUAGGAACAUAAUUACUACCAAAUAAAAUUUCUUUACAAUCAUAAUUGCUUCUAAAAAAUGAAUGUGGUAUAAAUUGAGGGUGGUUUUUCAAGUGCAUAUAGUGGCAGUGACUUGCGCAAGUAAAGUGGGAAGGAGAUUUGCAAUUCCUUAGAAUCAAAAUUUUGUCACAACCAGACCACAGUUCCUUUGUUGCCAAUAUUUAGGAGAAUGAGAACCCCAUACUCCUAUUAGGAUGUGAAGGAGAUACACAUAGCUUUGAAAAAUAAAUCUAAGACUUGAUUGAGUUUUGCAUAUGAAGCUCUUCUCAUUAACUUUGAAAAAUAAAUCCAAGACUUGAUUGAAUAGUCUAAGGCCCUGCAACAUCAAAACUUGCAAUAAAUUAUAGCUUGUUUUCUUAUAAAAGUUCUUUCCACCUCACAAGAUCAAUGCACUAAAGAAGGAAAUUUCAAACUAUAGAGCAUGAAGAACGAGAAAUUUUUGUCCAAUGGGAGAUAUUCAAGGAGAUAGUCAUAGCCUACCCUCACCAUAGCUUUGAUGACUAGAUGUUAGUGUCCUACCUUUACAAGGGUAUGUCUCUUCCGAUGAAGCAACUCCUUGAAUGAUGCAUGGUAGGGAUUUCAUGAAUUAGAGUCUUGAAAAAGGAUUCCAAUUUCUCUAUAAUUAUGUUGCAAAAGUAUCCAGAAGUUAAGACGACUUGAUCAUCUAAGAACAAUUAAGGGACAAAGGGGUGAACAAGCCAAGAGCCAUUAGAGUGUAAACACUCUCAAAUGGUUUAGAUUUCCGAGCAAAAAUUGCUACUAUUGUAAAGAGGUUAGAUGAUUUAGAAAGUAAAGGAUUUUGAGAGGUACAAAGGAUCACUCAACCAUGUAUGAUUUACAAGUUUGUGGAAUAGAGGUCUCCUUCUUACUCUACUUUUAGUAUAUGAUAUGCUUCCAAAGCAUGCAAAUGUCAUUGGAAGCUAUGCACUACUCAUGAACAACUCAUUUUUCUCAUGUACUAUUUAUCUAAAUUGGAGAACAUGCAAAUUUUUCAUGGAGUAGAAACAACAAUGGCACGUUUUAGUAGUAAGGAAAUCAAUUCCAAGCCAAUCAAAGUGGUGGUCUACUAAGAAAUUUCUAUAGCAAUCUUUAUCUUUAUCAUUAACCCAAGGUUGGAGAACUUAAUAAGGCAAUUCAUGCAACAAUAAAGCAAGUUUAAUGAAAAUCGGCUAAAAAUAAAUGCUUAAACAUCGUAGGUUACUUCAAACAUUUGGAAUGUCUUAAGUCAAAUCACUUUAAGCUUACCACAGGACAAAAACAAGUUCUCUACUCGGGCACAUCAAAAUCCAAAGGGAACAUGUAAUGCUUUUGAUAUUAAGAAUGAAGCAAGACAUUAGUCACACUUUGAAAUUGUAAGGCCCUAGUUAUAGAUCUAACUUUUAUUUUAAAAUUAAUCAUGGCUUUAAGGGAGGAAAAUAAUAGUAAAUACAAGGUUCAUUUUCAACCAAGGAAGAGGAAAAAGCCAAUUAUGUAUAAAUAAAAUACUACUUUAGAUUUGUGAAGCAUGAAUAGAUCCAAGAAAAGACAAAAUAAGCAAGUCAUGGGCAUGAAAUACGGGAAAUUAAUAUUAUAACAUGAGGUAGAGGGCAAACAACUAAGAGUGAGGAGGUUUGAAGCAAGUGUAACAAGUUUAAAAUGAAAUUUGAAACUCAAACUAAAGGCAACAACAUAAUACAUGAAUUUGAGCUAAAUUUUGGAGUACUUUUAGAUUGUCUUUUAAAGCCAACUACCUAUGGUUUUAAAGCUUAAGAAGUCAAAAAUCCAAUGUUGGGUUGGAGCUUUUAAAAACAAGACAUGAAGCAACAAAGUAGAAUAUGAGCUUCCACAUUUCUAUCCAUCAUUUGCACUAAUAUUGAUUUGAGUAUUCAGACCUAUAUCAUUUGCAUUGUACAUGACUUUGGUGUAUUAAGAGUUUCAUAGAAGAUACAAGUUAUGGACUCCUUGCAAGAUAAUAAGUAGUUCAUAAUCGGUUUAUGGAUUUGAGUAAUCCAAUAGAGGAGAUAGUACAUUGAUAAGUAGCUUACAGUCAGUUCAUGGAUUUAGACAAUGUAGUAAAGGUUGUAGUGCACUAUCUCCUAAUUGGAGGAUAACUUGUCUUGGUUGUCGGGAUGAAUUUCUCAUGUUGAGUGUACUAGUGUGAAUGGUUACACAUUGGAUAUAACCUACAUUAAAUUAUGACGUAAAACUAUUAGAUUAUUAUGAUUCACUAGGCCACUGUAUUACAUGAACCCUCAACCUUGAGAAGAUAUUGAACCUAUGGUGAAAUCAAAAUGAGGUCUUAACCUAUGAAUGAGAUCCUAAUGUGAUGAUAUACCCCUAUAGAUUGAGUCAUUAUUGAUAGAAGAUGGUAAUGAUAGAUAUUCUCAAUAGAGGCACCAUAAUAUCUCAUGGGAUUAAGACAAUUUUCUCCCAUGAGUGAUCUAAAGGACAUGUGUUCAUAAAAUUUGUAGUCAUAGUAAUUCCUUAAGGGGGUGUUUGGUACACGGGAAUAGGGAGUGAGAAUAGACAUCUCAUUCAUUUUCUCCCUUAUUCCUAUGUUUGGAUAAAUGUUAAGAAGGUGAAAAUGAAAUAAAAAAUUAUUUCGGCAGAAAUCAAAUCCAACUUAUGAGUCGGAUUUGCAUUCAUUAAAAGUAGGUGGUAUUCUGAUUCAUUAAACCUAUUUGAUAAUAUAAAAUAACUUAAAUUACUAUUUUACCCUCUUAUCUUGUUCUUUAAACCCGAUGUUUAUCUUCUUUGCAAAGGUAGAGAUCCAUUCAUCAUCCACUUCUUAUCUUCUUUGCAAAGCUAGAGACCCAUUCAUCAUCCAAUUCUCUGCAACAAGUGAUUCUUCCAAAUUGAAUCAAUUAAACCUUCCACGAUAUUUAAAAAAAAAAAAUCAAUUUAUAAUUUAUAGGGUUUUGGAUGUACAUUUUGAUUGUUGGAUCUAGGAUUCGUCAUUGUUUGCUACAACUAGGUUCUGAAAACCCCCUUCUACAUCUUCGAUCAGGUUUACCUUAUUUUCUCUUUCUUCUUCUACUUCUUUAUAUGUGUUUCUUCUUCUCUAUAAAUCGAUUAUUUUUUUUUUUUUAUAAAUUUAUGUUUGGAAUCUUUGAUGUUUCUUUAUCUUGUAUUAAUGGAAUCUGGAGAGAAAAAUUAAAAUGGUUGGAAAAAGAUUUUUCGAUUUCACGUGUUUACAAUAUUGAAAAUUUUUAAUGGUUAGGAAAAAAAUAAAAAGAAAAAAACAAACAAAAACAAAACUUUUGGUUUUUUUUUCCCCUUUGUUUAUUAUUAUCGGCGUCUUCCUUUCCUAGUUAAAGCUAUGGAUUCUGCCGUCUCGCAAAAAAUCUGCUGCGUUUCCGGCUCAUUUUGGAACUUUAGCAUGGGCCACAGUGAAGAUCUCUUCAUAUCAUUACUAUUUAACAAUAAACAAACCAUUAAGCACCGAGAAACCAACAUUGAUUAAUUUUUUUAUUCCAGCUGCUAUUGAUCUAUAUGGGCCCAACUUUAUGGUUAAUUUUUUAUUUAUUGAGUAUAUUUAUAUGUUUUUAGUCUUAUUAUUUAAUAACAAAAAACCUCUCAAAUUUUAUUUUUUUAAAAUACAAGUAAAAAUAAAAAAAUAUUUUAAAUUAUAUGUAAGGAUAUUAUUAUAAAUUUAUUUCUUUUUCAUUUUCAUUCCUAUUAUUAUCAAACAUUGGAAUGGAAACAAAUAAUCAUUCCAAUCUUGCAUUCCUAAGUUCAUCCAAAUGCUAGAAAUGGGAUCAUCAAAUUCAUUCCAUUUCAUUAAGAAAUAGGAAAGGAAACAAAAUAUUAUUUCUAUUCCCUAUUCCGACGUACCAAACACCCCUGAAGUGGAAUUUGACAUAUGUUUUUUAUGAGUUAAAAUAUUCAAUUGAUCACAUAAUAGGAGGAUUUGUAACUUAAAGAUUGAAAAAGUAAUCUUGAUGGGUUAAUAACACUAACCUAUUAGAUUAUGGGCAUUAGUUCAUGAGGAGUCCACAUGCAAUGAACUAAUGGAUUUUGACUAAAAAACCUGUAAGUGUCAAAUGGAUUUAUUAGAUAAAGUAUAAACUUGAUGGUAAAGCUAAUCGAUUUAAAGCAGCAAAAGGUUAUAAAUAGAUCUAACUCAUAAAAGGUGAAAAUUUUACCAAAUGGAUGUGAAGUUAGCUUUAUAAUUACUAAAAAGGUUUUUGUUGAACAACCACCAUGAUAUAAAGGGAAAAAAAACAAGUUUACAAACUCAAAAUGGCAUUGUAUGGGUUACAGUAGACCACAUGCUUAGUACACAUGAAUUGAUGCUUAUUUAUUAUGAAAAAAAAAAAAAUUGUAUGUAUCAUUUUAUUAAAAGGAUAAUCUAUUAAAAGAGGUGGAAUCAUUUCCACUUUAUAAAACUAACCCUUCAUUUAUUUUUAAUUUAAAAAAUAAUCGAUUUAGAAAAAAAAAUGUCUUUAUUUUUUUCUUGUAAAAUAAUUAUUUUUUUUUAAAAAAAACACACUUAUAAAUAAUAGAAGUGUUAAAGGGUAUUUAUGUCAAAAUUAGAUUACUCUUCAAGUUCAAAACGGGAUAUAUUAGUUUUACAAAUUUAAAAUUUUUUCAUCCUUUUAAUGGAUUAAUCCUUUAUUAAAUUAAUAGAAUUUUUAAGUUUCGUUUUUACGCACGUGUUUUUAAAGUUCACGACAUUUGUGUCUAAAAUAUAAAAUGUCAACAAGCGACACGUCAGUUUUUGGUAAACAUCGUUCUCAAAAGGAAAAGAAAAAAUGCAAAUAAAAGGCCACAGAGUACAGAGCAAGAAGCUGAGCAAAGAGAAAGUGGCACCAAGAGAAGACAAAAAAUGGUGGGUUCGCUUCCAGUUGCAAAUGUCCAAGCUCUUGCUUCCAGCUACUCCGGUGAUGUGCCACUCCGGUACCUACGGCCGGAACUCCUCUCAGAAGAAGUUUUGGUGGAUGAGUCUCUUCAAAUUCCCACCGUAGAUAUGAGGAAGCUCCUGGUUGAUGAUGAUGAAAUGAGUAAACUUCACUUGGCCUGUAAAGAAUGGGGUUUCUUUCAGGUAUAAUUAUUUUUAUAUGUUUGAACCGGGUUUAUUAUCUCUUGGGAUUUUUAUCAAGUUCCUCUUUUGGGCUGCUUCUAUGCUUUUUUUUUUUUUCUUGGAAUUUCUCUUGGUUUAAUGAAUAAUUUCAUUUUCAACAGCUAUUGUAUAUAGAUUCUUGUAAACAAUUCUUUUCUGGGUUUUUAAGAAGGGAGGGAUUGGGUAAGAAUACAUAUGCAUAUGCAGGGAUUUUGUUUUGGAUUAUAGAUUUGUUUUGAGGACUGAAGGUUUUGGUUAGGGUUUUGUAUGGAACCCCAAAGGUAGAACAGAUAGAGACUAUUACAAUCUAGGAAUUUUCUACCAUUUAUCCAUGAUAUGGUAUGUACAAAAUGAUAAUUUCUAAAGUAAAGAUUGGGAGGUUAUGAUUAAUUCUCUUCAAUUCAAAGGCCUAAAAAAUGAUCAUACAUCUGAUAUAUGAUCAUCACCCUCUAAAGUGAUUCUUCUGUAUUAUUCUCAGUUAUUGUUGAAAUUUUAAGUCAUUUAAGUCACAGAUGUAGCUGAACUUGAAGCUGAGUUUGUUGGAUGGUUUUACCUUAUACCUCAAUGGGUUACUGUCUUAUUCUAAAUUGAGCAUAUUAUCAUCAAACAGUUAAUAAAUCAUGGGGCAGCCGAAGAAGUAAUUGAGAAAAUGAAGGCAGAUGUUCAAGAAUUCUUUAAAUUGCCACUAAAGGAGAAGAAUGCAUAUGCGAAACUACCAAAUGGGGUUGAAGGUUAUGGCCAAAACUUUGUUGUUUCCGAAGACCAGAAGCUUGAUUGGGCUGAUAUGCACUUUCUUCAAUCCCUGCCAGCCUCUGAAAGAAAUAUGAGGUUCUGGCCUGAAGAACCCACUUCUUUCAGGUAAAUAGGUUAACUACUCUGAUUGAAUGAAUUCUUGUUGAUGACUGUUGUCCUUGAAAAACUAUUACGCUUCAUAUAAUUUUUUAAAAUGUGAAAGAACAUUGAGCACAAAAAUGAGCUUAAUAGUGAAAAAAUAUACCCACUCGUUGGCACUUUGCUUAAGUUUCCUUUUGUAUGUCAGGGGAACUUUGGAAAAGUACUCAUUGGAGCUUGUAAAAGUUUCAAACUGCCUUCUGAAGUUGAUGGCUAAGAACCUUUUGAUAAAUCCUGAGCAGCUCACAAAUAUGUUUGACGUUGGAAGACAAGCAGUGAGAAUGAAUUACUAUCCGCCUUGUGUGCAUGCAAGCAAGGUAAUAGGUCUCACUCCCCACUCAGAUUUCGGAGGACUUACCCUACUUGUUCAAGUCAAUGAAGUGCAAGGCUUGCAAAUUAAGAGAAAUGGUAAAUGGAUACCAAUUAGGCCUGUCCCUGGUGCGUUUAUCGUCAACAUUGGUGACGCUAUUGAGGUAACUAAUCCUAAAUUCUCUUAAAUAACAUUAUAUUGUUAAACCAAACAGGCAAAUCUCGUAUUGUUGUUUAUUGGCAGACUGAAAGUUGACAAAUGAAAUUCUUGAAUGGUUAAUUUCAUUUGUGAGCAGAUAAUGAGCAAUGGGGAAUAUAAGAGCAUAGAGCAUAGAGCAGUGGUGGACCCAGAAAAGGAACGACUCUCCAUUGCAACAUUCUGUUCUCCGAAUGCUGGGGCAAUCAUUGGUCCUUUGCCAGAGCUUACAAAGGAGAAAGGUGCAAUCUAUAAAUCUGUAAGCAGGGAGGAGUACAUAAAAUUUGUACUUGGUAGAAAACUUGAUGGCAAAAGUACAAUAAAUCAUAUGAAGUUGGAGAACUGAAAGGCCAUGAUAACCAUGUAUUAUCGAAGGAAUUGAGUUGAAUAAAUUAUGUGAUCCAUAAUUUAAGAAAAUUUCAAUUUGCUACUAUAGUUAAUUGGGACUAAGCAAACUCAUUGCUACUAAGCAACUCUUUGGAGAGACUCCAAAGAGAAUCCAUAAAGAGCAUGAAACUCGAAUGUUUUGCGGUUCUAGAAGUCCGUGAAUCAUUCUCAAAAUAUCAUUGUUAUGAUGUUAAGAGAGUGUUAUUGAUAAAUUUUGUGUGUCAUUCUUGUGUUGAAUCUUGAGAAAAAUUAGCGGUGAUAAAAUUUAAAACAAUUUAUCAAUACUAUUCGAAUUUGACACAUUUUUUGUAAAUUUAGAUUGAUUAUAAUAUUAUUUGAUUAAAUUCGUGUUGACCUAUAUAACUUAUUUAAUAAAUAGAUUAUUUUUUUUAUUAACCUAUAUGACAUGAAUUUGACCCAAAAUGACCUAUUUAAUAACCGUGUUGAUUAAUCAAAUUAUAAUCAUAACCAAUUUAACUUAUAUUUGAUUGAUUUAAAAUUUGAUUUUGAAUAAAUAGGUCAAUCGACUAAUAAACAUGUUAGGUUGAGAUGUUAAUUAUAUUGGUUGAAACAAAGAUCUAGUCCGACUUGAUUAUUAAAUGGGACUUAACUAUUAAAUGAGUUAUAUAAUAUAUUACAUGUUUAGUAAUUAGCGUGUUUGGUUUAUAUUUUAAUUUGAUUAUUAUUUGAUUUGUGCUUAAGUUGACCUAUUUAGUCCAAUGCAUGAGUUUUGACACAUCACAAACACAAUUCACCAACAUGAAUUGUCACCCCUAAAACAAUAAGAGAUUUAUGUAAAUUGAUACAUUUCUAGUAGGGAUGACAACGGGAUGGUUUCAUGAUAGGUCAUCAUCCCAAUCCUGCCCUAUUUAUUCAAAAUAUUUUUCAUCCAUGUCUCAUUAAAAGAAUUAAAUGGAGCGGGGGAGGGGCGGCGUGAGUAUGCAAAUUUCUCAUACUCAUCCCAUACCGCUUCAUUUAACCUUUUUUUUUAAAAAAAAAAAAAUUUCAAAAUAUUUAACUAUAUUAAAAUAAAUGUCUUUUAUAAAUGAUUAAAAUAUUAUAGUUUUUUAUAACUUAUUUGAUCGAAAGAUAUUUUUAUUUAUUAUUAUUAUUAUUAAAAAUAAGAAAAUAAAAAUUAAUUUAAUUUAAAAAUCAACCAAACCAACUUUAUUUACACUCUUAUUUGUUUUUUACAAAACGAUAAAUUAAAAACUACGAAAAAUAAAUUUAUAUUAUUGAAAAUCUUUAGAUUACCUUUUGAAAAAUUCAAAAUCGAGUAAAAAAUUGUUUCAUCAUUUAAUUAUUUCGAGAACCAUUUCAUUUCUAACUCAAAAUUCAACGAACUUUUCUUCAUAAGUUCUUUUUAUCUUUCUUUUCAAAAAAAAAAAAGAGUUUAAAGAGUUUAAGAGAAAGAAUUUUUUUGAUUUAUAUAUUUAAUGGGGUGAUUUUUGAGCAAUUUCUAGUAGUUCCAAUUCUCAGAACCCCUUCCCCUAGAUCUUUGAUUUGUUGGGUUGGGUUAGGUCGGGUUAAACCACUUCAUCACCCAAACCCAACUCCAACAUAAACUAUGGUAUGGUAAAAAUUUAAUUAUUUUUAAACAAAAGAAAAUAUCUAUUUUAAAGGAUAGGAUAAGAUGGGAUCUCUGAUAACAAAGAGACAAUAAUAAUUCUAUCCAUUGAACCUGAUAUCAUGAAUUUUAUAAUGUGGUAUUUUGUUAGAAGUGGGUCCCUAUCACUUAUGCCUCCCCCAAGUUAGCCUCCACCCACCUGCCCUUCUUUAUCUACAUCACCCUAUCUUCAAUAAAAAAAGUCACAUCAUUUUCAAUAAUUUAUAGCUGUGGAUUUUCUUAGGUCUUGCGUAUUCCUUAUUUUGAAUUUUCAAUGUGCUUCUAGAAGACACAAAAAAUAUAUUAUAACGUUAACGGGGGACUUGUGAAGUUUCCCAGGGACUUUCCCGGAAAGGAAAAUUGUGGGGGAAUAAAAGAAUUCGUGAAAUGGUUACUGGGAAACUUUGGUUUGACGUUUUCUUCAUAUCCCCCCUUCUGCAAUCUGAAAAAAAGAAAGUUGACGACAUGAAUCUACUCAAGAAAAUUAAUAUUGUUUGGAAGGAUGGCAUCACAUUUGACGAAAAUCUCUUUGACGGGUUUUGAAUUUUUGAAAAAUCAAGACGGAUUCGGAUCUUGUCUUGCCAUAUAAAAUUUAGUUUAAAAAAUUAAUUUUAAUUUCUUUAUUUAAAAUGAAAAUGAAAUCAUCCGUUACCAGGAAAGACUGUAAGAAAUGAAAUUGUUGGUCCGUGGGUAACAUGCGGACCCUAUAGUUUCCAGUCUCGACUGUAAGUACAUAAUUAGAUCAGGUGUUUACCAAAAACACCUGUCUUGUUUUAGAUCAGGUGUUUGCUUUUGCAUGUGCUCAAACCAUGAAAAUCUACUUCCAGUGUGGCAGUGUCAUUGAAUGAUUUGUGAACUUGUUCUAUGCCUUGUAAUUCUUGCAACUUUUUAUGAGUUCUACAUUUGUUUUAGCUGGCUGAUAAGAUGUUUCUUACUUUGCUUUGAUCUGCCUUUAGGCCCUUGCAGCUGAGAUGGGCCCAGACACUCGUGUAAAUUGUGCUGCGCCUGGUUUUGUACCAACACACUUUGCCGAAUUCCUCACGAAAAAUGCUGAGAUUGUAAGUGCAUUUCUGGCCUGGUACUCAGGUGUCUAGCUUUCAAUACUGGAGUUUGUCAAGGACUAGCUAUGGGUUUGGAUAUUUCAAUUUAUUUUAUUCUUUCAUGCAGAAGAAGGGCAUUGAGGAUAAAACUCUACUAAACAGGCUUGGAACCACCAAGGAUAUGGCUGCAGCCACGGCCUUCCUGGCUUCCGACGAUGCUUCUUAUAUCACUGGAGAGACGCUGGUAGUGGCUGGUGGAAUACCUUCUAGACUCUAGUCCUUUUUUCUCUGAUUUGUACUAGUCUUGCAGUAAGGCAUGGUAUUCAAGUACACAAAUAAUAAAGAUUUGAGGAAGAUCUUCAGCGCAGUUCUCAAUGCAAUAAUAAACAUGUUCUCUUCUUUCAAAGUAGGAAUUAGCAGCUUUACCGUAGAAGAAUAUGAUGAAGAUGAGAGUUGAUCAGAAUCAAAUAGUUGCAAAGAAAUACAUACCAAAUAUUACUGCCCCGAAGAAGAAAGAACAAACAUAAAUAUUUGAUUAUUCUUCUACCCUCCAUGCUAGAAUUGAAUGUGUCUGAAGAAAAGCAACAUUGGCAUAUGCAAACGGGAACCCCUUUUUAGAGAACCCCAUGCAGCUUAUGUACAUAGAAUCAGCUAGAAUCAAAACGUGUAGCAUCAUCACAAUACAUCAUUUUUUCCUAUCUGCUUGGAGAAGGAAAACUUUUCCCCCCAUUGGAUUCCCCCAUUAGAACCCCAAAGCACAUAAAAUAAAAGCCUGACUAGAUAACCUUAUCCUCGCUUAUUAUGCAUCUUCUUCGGGUCUUCCUGCUCUGCAUCUACUAAGCCUACUUUACAUAUGCUUAAAAAAAACCUGGAAAGGGAAGAAGAGUGGUCUUGGUGCCUUUUUUCUUUUUUCUUUUUUUUCAAAACCUUUCAAUAUUUACUCGUGAUAUCCUUUAGCAAAAGAAAGUUGAGGCGUGGCAUGGCAUGGCAUAUCUACACGGGAACCACAUCUUUAUUAUAAAUCUGUAAAUCUAUAAAUCUGUAAGCAGGGAGGAGUAUAUAAAAUUUGUACUAAGUACAAAACUUGAUGGCAAAAGUACAAUAAAUCUUAUGAAGUUGGAGAACUGAAAGGAUAACCAUGUAUUGUCAAAAGAAUCGAGUUGAAUAAAUUACGUGAUCCAGGGUAAUUUAAGAAAUUUCAAUUUGCUACUAUAGUUAAUUGGGACUAAGCAAAC